GAUGAACGCUGGCGGCGUGCCUAACACAUGCAAGUCGAGCGAGGUAGCAAUACCUAGCGGCGGACGGGUGAGUAACGCGUGGGAACGUGCCCUUUGCUACGGAAUAGCCCUGGGAAACUGGGAGCAAUACCGUAUGUGCCCUUCGGGGGAAAGAUUUAUCGGCAAAGGAUCGGCCCGCGUUGGAUUAGGUAGUUGGUGGGGUAAUGGCCUACCAAGCCGACGAGCCAUAGCUGGUUUGAGAGGAUGAUCAGCCACACUGGGACUGAGACACGGCCCAGACUCCUACGGGAGGCAGCAGUGGGGAAUCUUAGACAAUGGGCGCAAGCCUGAUCUAGCCAUGCCGCGUGAGCGAUGAAGGCCUUAGGGUUGUAAAGCUCUUUCGUGGGGGAAGAUAAUGACUGUACCCCAAGAAGAAGCCCCGGCUAACUCCGUGCCAGCAGCCGCCGUAA
rnacentral:rRNA from 1 species